rnacentral:rRNA from 1 species
UACGUAGGGUGCGAGCGUUGUCCGGAAUUAUUGGGCGUAAAGAGCUUGUAGGCGGUCUGUCGCGUCUGCUGUGAAAAUCCGGGGCUCAACCCCGGACUUGCAGUGGGUACGGGCAGACUAGGAGUGUGGUAGGGGAGACUGGAAUUCCUGGUGUAGCGGUGAAAUGCGCCAGAGUAUCAGGAGGAACACCCGAGUGGCGAAGGCAGGUCUCUGGGCCACUACUGACGC